UACGAAGGGGGCUAGCGUUGCUCGGAAUCACUGGGCGUAAAGGGCGCGUAGGCGGCCAUUCAAGUCGGGGGUGAAAGCCUGUGGCUCAACCACAGAAUUGCCUUCGAUACUGUUUGGCUUGAGUUUGGUAGAGGUUGGUGGAACUGCGAGUGUAGAGGUGAAAUUCGUAGAUAUUCGCAAGAACACCAGUGGCGAAGGCGGCCAACUGGACCAAUACUGACGCUGAGGCGGCGAAAAGCGUGGGGGAGCAAACAGG
rnacentral:rRNA from 1 species